UGACAUUUAUUUCAAGAUUGUCGCUCGGUGGUGUACGAAAUUGCUUUGCUUGACUAUCGCGCAUUAAUUGASGUGGCAUUGACAUUGUAGUGACACUUCGUAAAAACUCGGUUGUGGGCCACAAUCCACUUGUUCUUGUGAUACCAAGAGGCUAAUUUAAAAUACUUCGAGAUUACGAUAAACUAAUUCUAAUCGCUUAAAUUUUUUUUUUUUUUUCGGACAGAAAAGCGCGCGAUAAACCCGAUAAUAAGUAUAUUGAGGCUCUGAGAGGCUAAAGCAACCUCUAUGGUGUAUGCUAUAAACGGAAAUCAAAACGAAUUCGCGCUGAAAUUAAAAAUAUAUUUAAUAAAAACAAAGAAAAGAAAUUAAAAAAACUAUAAAAGCAGAAUUAUCAGCAAWGUACAAACAUAUUCAGCAACUAUAAAAAUAACAACAACGUGCGCGCGCAAACUAGUUGAGCUAAUUAAGGUGAUGCCACCGGCUAAUUGAAAGGCGGUGAAUUUCACAAUUUUUAUGUCACGAAUAAUGCAACAACAGAAAAAUAAUUAAAUUAUUAAGCAACAGCAAAAGAUUUUGCAACAAAGCAAGUAACAAUAACAAAAAAUCAAUGCAAACAAGUUUAAAUCAAACGCCAAAAUAAUAAGUGCCAGAGUGCUAAGGAAAACCACCGACGAAAACACAUAAAUAUA